UACGUAGGAUGCGAGCGUUGUCCGGAAUUAUCGGGCGUAAAGAGAACGUAGGCGGUUUCUUAAGUUUGGGCUUAAAGACUGGGGCUCAACCCCAGGAGUGGCUCGAAAACUGAGAGACUAGAGGAUGGCAGAGGAAAGUGGAAUUCCCAGUGUAGCGGUGAAAUGCGUAGAUAUUGGGAGGAACACCAGUGGCGAAAGCGACUUUCUGGGCCAUUCCUGACGCUGAGGUUCGAAAGCUCGGGGGGCAAACAGG
rnacentral:rRNA from 1 species